rnacentral:rRNA from 1 species
AUUGAACGCUGGCGGCAUGCCUUACACAUGCAAGUCGAACGGCAGCACGGGGGGUAACCCCUGGUGGCGAGUGGCGAACGGGUGAGUAAUAUAUCGGAACGUGACCUGUAGCGGGGGAUAACCUAUCGAAAGAUGGACUAAUACCGCAUACGACCUACGGGUGAAAGCGGAGGACCGCAAGGCUUCGCACUAUAGGAGCGGCCGAUAUCGGAUUAGCUAGUUGGCGGGGUAACGGCCCACCAAGGCGACGAUCCGUAGCUGGUCUGAGAGGACGAUCAGCCACACUGGAACUGAGACACGGUCCAGACUCCUACGGGAGGCAGCAGUGGGGAAUUUUGGACAAUGGGCGCAAGCCUGAUCCAGCCAUGCCGCGUGAGUGAAGAAGGCCUUCGGGUUGUAAAGCUCUUUCGGCGGGGACGAAACGGUUCGUGCUAAUACCACGGACUACUGACGGUACCCGCAGAAGAAGCACCGGCUAACUACGUG